rnacentral:rRNA from 1 species
UACGAAGGGGGCUAGCGUUGCUCGGAAUUACUGGGCGUAAAGGGCGCGUAGGCGGAUAGUUUAGUCAGAGGUGAAAGCCCAGGGCUCAACCUUGGAAUUGCCUUUGAUACUGGCUAUCUUGAGUUCGGGAGAGGUGAGUGGAAUGCCGAGUGUAGAGGUGAAAUUCGUAGAUAUUCGGCGGAACACCAGUGGCGAAGGCGACUCACUGGCCCGAUACUGACGCUGAGGCGCGAAAGCGUGGGGAGCAAACGGGG